UGUGUUGAUAACUGUAAGAGUACUGAUGUGAUAAACUUCUGGAAAGGCCUGAGGAUCCUGCUCUGGUCUCAUGGCUGACCCUGCUUGGAGGAGCAGGCUGGACUUGGUGACCUCCCGAGGCCUCUUCCAACCUGAAUCACCCUGUGGUCCUGUGAAAGUAUUGCCUAGGCUGUGAGCAACUUCGUAUACAGGACUGGAAUGAUAGAAGACCAAUUAGUCACCUCUGAAAUGGCUAAGAAACUGCUGUAGUCUCCAGUUUUAAAUGGGAAUUUGUCAGUGAGUAGACAUGCUUCUAAUGGAGUCCUGGAGUUAUCACGGCUCUGUCUUUGAGAUGAGGUCAAACUUUGAAGAAGGGAUAACUAAAUAAAAGACAGAUCACCAGUGCAGAAUGGUUGAGAUCCCAUUAGUAACCCGGAUGAAAACAAGCAACGUGUUUUAGUAGGACCCAUGUAGAGCUGGGCCGUAUCCUGGGAACCGAUGACUCUGAAGAUGAUGUGUGAAGCUGUGGGGGCCGUCAGCCAAGUGGCAAAGAAGGGAAAUGUCAUCUUUGGGUGUAUAAGACCAGGAGGAAGGUGCUCCUCCUGCAGUUUCCAGUUGUGACUUCGGUAGUUUGAGGAAGGUGUUGAUAAAUUGGUGAGAAUUGCGGAAAAGGUUUUAAGAAAUGUUAAAUGACUGGAAAGCACAUCUACCCACUGGAGACUGAAGGAGACAGUUUGCAUGGUCUAACAAAGAGGCAGGUAGCGGGGAGACUUGAACACCCUGGUGGAGAGAAACAGAAACACAAUAAAAAGGCUGAAUUCAGUCCAGCAAACAAACAUGCAAUAACAACCAGUAGAGAGAUGCUGAAGAAGGUAGCAGCGCAUCCACACAGACGAGUGGCUCAACAGGCUCCUCACGCUGCUGCAUCUCUGGGGAGCCCCUUUUAGGGGGUGUCUCUGGACCAUUUGUGCCGCCACUUAACUUGGCUUAGAAACGUACGGAGGAGCAAAGUUAGAUCUGCCCCAGUGUAAACUGGCAUCAUUCCAUGUGAGCUGAUGGUCUGUCAGCCUUUCUGAGGGCAACGCGUUGCCUCUGAUCGUCGCUGGGAGAGAGGAGUGAUGAUGCUGGUCCUCGUCCUUCCUGUGCUGGGAUCUGUAUUUUGAGAAAGAAGCACUGGAGCUGAGCGUGCAAAGCCCGUCCGUUGUCUGUGCAUUGCCUCUGUGAGCAGCGGCAGGGAUGACAGCCAGGCAGCAAGGUGAAAAAAGACUGGGUGAGCCGUGCGGCACGUGGCUCAGGCUGACCCUUGCUCUGGAGCAGCUGAGGAUGUCCGGGAGAGAUUAGCAGGAGGAAACCUGUAGCUGGUGAAAAUCUGAGGCUACAUUUAUUAGGAGGUUCUGGAGCUCCUUCUGCAUUUCCUUGCUGAUCCCAGGUAAGACGUAUCCAGCUGAAACUGAUGGAGGCGUUCGGGGAGAAAAGGGGUAUGACGGAAAAUACUUCCCGAGCGCAAAGGUAGAAGUGGUUCAUGCCAAGCAGCACGGCUCCUCUAUCCCGCGGGAUGCCUCGGCGUGUACUGGUGGAGCACUCCUGAGGGUGAGCAGCGAUGGGUGGAGGAGGGAAACAGUGUUAGCUUGCAAUAAUCAUAUGUAUGAAAAUUAGUAGGCGUUUGCCGUACAAGUGUUGUUUGACUGAAUUUCCUCUUAAAGUGAAUUUGACAAGCCUGAAAGACAGUAUUACACACAAGUGCUUCUGUUUGCUCCCUGUGCAGCUAUUUGCAGCAGCUGCCAAAGACCUGACGAGCUCUGGGCACGGGUAAAUUUUUUCCAUGUGUUGAUUUGUCAGGUCUUGUACUGCAGAACAUGUCAGACACUGGCAACUGCCCAUCCGCAAAAGGGUUUGAUGGCUCCUGUGCCAUCAGCGGGCUUUUGAUGCAAGGCGCUCAGAAAUGAGGUGUGUCUGGGCAGGCCCCUCGUUUCACCAGUCUUUCGAACUUUUUUUUACCAGGUUGAUAUACCUCCCUCUCCCUAAUUGUGUUUCUCUGCAAAGAAAAGAAAACAGCAGUGCAGAAUAAAUGACAAUUUACCAACAACCUUCCAGUGUUGAGCUGUUACGUGCCGGGGGUCUGGAGCAGCCCUCCAAAAGCGAGCCAGUGUGCUUGUAAGAGAGGAGAGAGGAUUCUUCAACAGAAAGUAGAGUUGGUUUCUGCCUUUGCGGUGUGGUUACUUAACUGCCUUCAUUAACAGCUACUCCAUUGUGACAAACAAGAGACAACUCUGCCGGUUGGAGACAGGUACGGUCCAGGCUGUAUCACAGACCCUGUAAUUCUAAGAACUGAAUUUAUCGCAAGAUGCUUUAGUGCAAAGUGCAUUGGGAACAAGCAAGCCUGAGAUCUCGCUGAACUGCUGCCAGGAGGUCCCAUAUAGCUCGUGACUUCAUGUGGAAGUCACAGCUGCAGGACCUAGUUUAAGCAGUUAUCUCAAGGAAGAGGUUGGCUCUUCCCUGCCUGUGUCUGGCCCAAACCUAAAGCACAAACGGGACUGAAGAAGUGGUGGGUGACUGCGACCACUGGUGUUACUGUUCUUUGCAUGUCCGUCUCGUGGGUUAGCUCGGGUUGGACAAAGGAGCGCAAGGGCCCGAGCCUCUCGGUGCGUGUUGAAGGCAUUGCUAGCAGGGGCUCUAACGCCGACUAGCAGCAGACUGAAGAGGCUGGGCUUCUGCUGAUACCCAAUUAGCUGAUUAUCCCAAAGGGAAUUGAAAAUGAAGGUUAUCUUUCAACUUGUGAUGAGCUUCCAAAUAAAUAUUCAACAUGCAUUUAAUAAGACAGUUUUAUGCAUUAUUUAAGUAUCAAUUGAUGGGUAGAAGACGAAACACUGCACUUCUGAUGCUGAGGUCUGAAAGGCAAGGGUAGAAAUCUGGUGAAUGAGUCAUUAAAGGAGAUUGGUAUCACUCAUUUUAGUGGAUUAUUAUUUACACAGUAAUCACAAAAAGAAUUUUAGAAAAAUUCAUUUCUACAUUUUGGUUGUUUGGGGAAUUAUUUUUUUGUUUGUUUUUAAAGCGUGAGAUAAGGGUACAAAAUGGAUGAGAAGAUUAGGAAAAAAGAGAUGGCAAGGCAAGGGUGAUCCUGCCUCCAGAUCAGAGCAAGAUUAGCUCUUCUGGGGUCAGGGUGUAACUUUGUGCCUGGUUCAGAAAGAAUAACUUUCAUGUCAGGGGUGAAAUCUUUUUCCUUGAACUUGGAGGGUUUGAUUCUCCUCUUACUCUCGCUUCGGGCAUAUUUCAGGAUGGACUUUGCUGGAGGCAAAAGCCCUCUCUGAGAAGUGAAUCCGUUACUGAGAAAUAGUCCAGCUUCUCUUGUGUAGUGGGAAUUUUUAAUGUUGCAGACACUCAGGGCAAGUCCUGACUGUCACCUUGUUCAAACUGUUGCUGGAUUUAUCUUGCAGAGCAGUGAUGUGCCCUAUUCCCAUGGAGAAACUGUGCGUGGCCGGGUCCCCAGCGUGCACUGCCCUAGGGACCGAUCCCUGCGUGAGCGAUACCCUGCGUAUCUCACAGCAAUGCCCAUUUUUGGCCUGUACUUUUCCCUCCCUCGUAUUUUUUCUCCUCCAGUCCAGGUUACCUGAAACCUUGAUAAGAUGCUUUAGCUGGGUCCCAUCCCUGCCAGAAACCCAGGACUUGGACCAGCACACGAUGGUUUCAAUGCCAUGGAGGUGUCAUUGAAACUCUUCUCCUGUGGGAUAUCUGAGAGCAGGGUCAGCCUCGCAGCCCUGGGUGAUGCCCCUUCGUUAGUUAAAUAAACCAGUGACCUCCGAGACACGAGUGAAACAAGAUUGAAAGGGGGAGAGUGGGUUUUCUCCCCACUGCGUCUCUGCCCCUCCAGUGCUUCGUUCUUCAGCUGCCCAGCGGGGCUGAGCUCCUCCUGGCAGCUCAGGGCAUCGGAGAAAUGUUGCUGAAACAGGAGCUCUCAGUGCCCAGACGAUGAUGCAGGAAGACGUUGAUUCUUCGCAAGUCACCAGCUGCAGCAUCGUGCGCCUGGGGUUAUCGCGGCAGAAACUGUACCGCUGCUGGCGGCGGAGCGAGCGCGGAGCGAGCAGGUGAAGCUGCUGCUGCCUGCCCGGAGUGUGGCCCCCCGCGGACUUCGCUGGCUGAAGGACCUAAGCCAGUCUAUCAGUUGCUUCCAAGCAAUCUUCCUGCAAGAAAUGCUACAGUUCCUCUUAUGGAUCAUUAACUGGAAAUGAACUUGAGACCUUCGGAUGUAAACACACUGCCUGCUGCCGUACACCUAGCAGAUCAACACUUUAGUUGACAAUGCAAGUAAUAAUGGGCCCGCAUCUCAGACUACGUCUUCACAGCCAGGUGUUCCCGUGGCACGAACAUCCCAGCUCGUCUGCCACCGACUGCCCUCCCGGGCCGCUUCCAGUGCUGCGGCAUCGCUGCGGCGGCUGGUUCAGGAUUCUGCUGAGCGUGGUCGAGCGUGGCGAUGGAUCCCUGGAGUUCAAGAGGCCAGUCCUGGACAGGAGCUGUUGGUGAAAGAACAAAAGAAAUGAGCUGGAGAAACUGUGGCUGAGCAGGUCUAAUCCUGUCUACAACGUCACCGUUGCCCUGGCGUUAGCGGAGGGACUCACCGAAGCCAGGUGCUGGUGUGUCUGUGAAGAAGGACCCUCCGUUACCGGCACUGUUCUGAGUUGCAGGAGAGGAGAUUCGGCAGGGGAGACAUACUUGUGGCUGAUAAGCUGCGUUUGAAGUUCCUCUGCUGCACUGAGGACCUCGGGUAAGACUCACACCAGCGAAUUUGGCCUCCGUAAAUGACACGGUUGCCUUAAGCACCAUGAGACGAUGAUCACUGUUAUUAACCCUAUCUAACGAUGCUGAAAUGCAGGUGCCGAGUCCUUCCUGAAGAGCUUUGCUUGGCUCCCAGCAGCUUUCGCCCUGAGCCAGGCUGUCCGUAGGUCAUUUGUUGGUCAUCAGAGUUGGAGGGUCCCCGGCUGAGCGAU